rnacentral:rRNA from 1 species
GUUGAACGCUGGCGGCAUGCCUUACACAUGCAAGUCGAACGGUAACAGGUCUUCGGAUGCUGACGAGUGGCGAACGGGUGAGUAAUAUAUCGGAACGUGCCCGAUCGUGGGGGAUAACGGAGCGAAAGCUUGUCUAAUACCGCAUAAGAUCUACGGAUGAAAGAAGGGGAACGCAAGGCCUUGCGCGAACGGAGCGGCCGAUGGCAGAUUAGGUAGUUGGUUGGAUAAAAGCUUACCAAGCCGACGAUCUGUAGCUGGUCUGAGAGGACGACCAGCCACACUGGGACUGAGACACGGCCCAGACUCCUACGGGAGGCAGCAGUGGGGAAUUUUGGACAAUGGGCGAAAGCCUGAUCCAGCCAUGCCGCGUGCAGGAUGAGGGCCUUCGGGUUGUAAACUGCUUUUGUACGGAACGAAAAGACUCUUUCUAAUAAAGAGGGUCCAUGACGGUACCGUAAGAAUAAGCACCGGCUAACUACGUGCCAGCCGCCGCAGUAAAAC